UGGGAACAGGAGAUGUGAGAGAGAGAGAGAGAGAGAGAGAGAGAGAGAGAGACCCGUAAUCAUGACCCAUCAUCCCAUGAAACCUAAAGGAAUCGAAACGGUGAAGCUGUAUACAAACGAACAUACAAAGUACAAACUCUAGGAAACGGCUCAACUGUUGCACCGAGUACGUACCUACUGACCGCAAUAAAUGGAGAUAAUUACAAUUUAUCAAGUAUGGUCGAAAAUUCCUCUGGCUGUUCACGAAACAGGUAUAUUCUAUCUCGG